rnacentral:rRNA from 1 species
AGAGUUUGAUCAUGGCUCAGGACGAACGCUGGCGGCGUGCCUAACACAUGCAAGUCGAGCGGGGAACUUCGGUUCCCAGCGGCGGACGGGUGAGUAACACGUGGGUAACCUGCCUUGUAGAGGGGGAUAGCCUUCCGAAAGGAAGAUUAAUACCGCAUAACAUUAUGCUUUCGCAUGAGAGUAUAAUCAAAGGAGCAAUCCGCUACAAGAUGGACCCGCGGCGCAUUAGCUAGUUGGUGAGGUAACGGCUCACCAAGGCGACGAUGCGUAGCCGGCCUGAGAGGGUGAACGGCCACAUUGGAACUGAGACACGGUCCAGACUCCUACGGGAGGCAGCAGUGGGGAAUAUUGCACAAUGGGCGAAAGCCUGAUGCAGCAACGCCGCGUGAGUGAUGAAGGCCUUCGGGUUGUAAAGCUCUGUCUUCUGGGACGAUAAUGACGGUACCAGAGGAGGAAGCCACGGCUAACUACGUGCCAGCAGCCGCGGUAAUACGUAGGUGGCAAGCGUUGUCCGGAUUUACUGGGCGUAAAGGAUGUGUAGGCGGAUGCUUAAGUCAGAUGUGAAAAUCCCGGGCUUAACUUGGGAACUGCAUUUGAAACUGGGUAUCUAGAGUGCGGGAGAGGAGAGUGGAAUUCCUAGUGUAGCGGUGAAAUGCGUAGAGAUUAGGAAGAACACCAGUGGCGAAGGCGACUCUCUGGACCGUAACUGACGCUGAGGCAUGAAAGCGUGGGGAGCAAACAGGAUUAGAUACCCUGGUAGUCCACGCUGUAAACGAUGAAUACUAGGUGUAGGGGGCGAAGCCCUCUGUGCCGCAGUUAACACAUUAAGUAUUCCGCCUGGGGAGUACGAUCGCAAGAUUAAAACUCAAAUGAAUUGACGG